CGGUGGCGAACCCGGACGAGGGACACGACCUGCAUCAGCCGCAGCAUAUCCGGCUCCGGGACACCCAAAUUGACCUGCUUCGGGAGCAGGAGGUCGCUGGUUCAAAUCCAGUCGCCCCGA
rnacentral:tRNA from 1 species